rnacentral:rRNA from 1 species
GGAGGGUGCGAGCGUUAAUCGGAAUUACUGGGCGUAAAGAGCACGUAGGCGGCUUGGUCAGUCGGAUGUGAAAGCCCCGGGCUUAACCUGGGAAUUGCACUCGAUACUGCCAGGCUUAGAGUUUAAUAGAGGAAUGCGGAAUUCCGGGUGUAGCGGUGAAAUGCGUAGAUAUCCGGAGGAACAUCAGUGGCGAAGGCGGCAUUCUGGGUUAAAACUGACGCUGAGGUGCGAAAGCGUGGGGAGCAAACAGGGAUUAGAUACCCUGGUAGUCCACGCCGUAAACGAUGUCAACUAGCCCGUUGGGAUUUUCUUAGUGGCGCAGCUAACGCGAUAAGUUGACCGCCUGGGGAGUACGCCGGCAACGGU